rnacentral:rRNA from 1 species
GAUGAACGCUAGCUACAGGCUUAACACAUGCAAGUCGAGGGGUAGCAGGGUAGCAAUACCGCUGACGACCGGCGCACGGGUGAGUAACACGUAUCCAACCUUCCCAUAACUCGGGGAUAGCCUUUCGAAAGAAAGAUUAAUACCGGAUGGUACUUUUUCAAGGCAUCUUGAGAAAGUUAAAGAUUUAUUGGUUAUGGAUGGGGAUGCGUUCCAUUAGAUAGUUGGUGAGGUAACGGCUCACCAAGUCUUCGAUGGAUAGGGGUUCUGAGUGGAAGGUCCACCACAUUGGAACUGAGACACGGACCAAACUCCUACGGGAGGCAGCAGUGAGGAAUAUUGGUCAAUGGGCGAGAGCCUGAACCAGCCAAGUAGCGUGAAGGAUGAAGGUCCUAUGGAUUGUAAACUUCUUUUAUAGUAGAAUAAAGUGAUCCACGUGUGGAUUUUUGUAUGUAUACUAUGAAUAAGGAUCGGCUAACUCCGUGCCAGCAGCCGCCGUAA